rnacentral:lncRNA from 1 species
CUUUGACCAACUUUUCAAAAAUUUUGACCAACUUUUCAAAAAUUUUGACCAACUUUUCAAAGUUCAGAAUUAUUCGGGGGCGUCGCAGCCCCCCCCCCCCCCCCCCCCCCCCCAAGACCGCCAGUCGCCACGCCCAUGCGUGCACGUUUUAUCCAAAUUUCACGUGAACCCAGCCGAUUACCUAUUCACAAAUUAAGCUACGUAAAUGUCAUAUAUUUUGAACUAUUUAAUUUCUAUACCAGGGACGGUUGUUAAAAAGAAGGAGUUAAAUUGAACUGUAUGCAUUUAAGAGUUAACUAUUAUUUAACUACAAAACGGGUAGCAACCUCGCAAGCUAGGUCUCCACCUCAGCUUCCGUUGCAAACACGGAAAACAUAGAGAGCUGGCUUGCGAGUUAAACGCGUAGUUAAAAAGUAGUUAAUUAAGCCUUUUAUACAACCGGCCCCAGUUAUUAGGCUGGAUCAGGAGGUAUUAUCAGAAAUUGCACAGAGAAAUAGCUUUGUCGUUGAGCACCCAUUGCAUGCCAUUGUGGGCUCAGUCCUAAAAAUUUUGUUUGGCUUAACUUUAAUUUUUUGCAACAAAAUAAGGCUCAAAUUGCAAGUUGUUGAUUGAUUGUUCUUGAUUGUUCUUGAAUCACCUAUGGUUGCAUGUUGAGCCUUCAACCUUUCCUAACCUCAAAAUUAUACCCAAUAACGUAACAAGUUUGCCAACUAUAUCUUGAAAUAAUAAAGUAGUUCACCUCAUUAAUAUUCAGUACAAUCUACGCAUACUCUAUUAAGAUGAGUCAGUGAGCAAUUUUCGAUCGUGAAGCUACCAAUCUGUCCUUACGUUUGGUGGUCAAAAUGCUGUGAUAAUUCGAUGUCUUGCGGAACUGGAAUUCUGGAUUUUCCGGUGGUCUGCUCACUAGUUAAAGAAGUAACAU